AUACGUAGGGUGCAAGCGUUAAUCGGAAUUACUGGGCGUAAAGCGUGCGCAGGCGGUUUUGUAAGACAGGGGUGAAAUCCCCGGGCUCAACCUGGGAACUGCCAUUGUGACUGCAAGGCUGGAGUGCGGCAGAGGGGGAUGGAAUUCCGCGGGUAGCAGUGAAAUGCGUAGAUAUGCGGAGGAACACCGAUGGCGAAGGCAAUCCCCUGGGCCUGCACUGACGCUCAUGCACGAAAGCGUGGGGAGCAAACAGGAUUAGAUACCCUGGUAGUCCACGCCCUAAACGAUGUCAACUGGUUGUUGGGGAUUGUUUUCUCAGUAACGAAGCUAACGCGUGAAGUUGACCGCCUGGGGAGUACGGCCGCAAGGUUAAAACUCAAAGGAAUUGACGGGG
rnacentral:rRNA from 1 species